GAGAUAGGGUCCUCCGGGGCCUGACCCUCCCACCCUUUGUGUAUAUACCUCUGUUGCUUCGGUGGAUCCGGCCGCGGUCGGUGCGCCAGAGGCCCCAUUUAUUCUGAAUGAUUAGUGCUGUCUGAGUCCACAUGCAAAAUAAAUCAAAACUUUCAGCAACGGAUCUCUUGGUUCU
rnacentral:misc_RNA from 1 species